GGAAUAUUGGGCAAUGGAGGAAACUCUGACCCAGCGACGCCGCGUGCGGGAUGAAGGCCUUCGGGUUGUAAACCGCUUUCAGCAGGGAAGAAGCGAAAGUGACGGUACCUGCAGAAGAAGCACCGGCUAACUAUGUGCCAGCAGCCGCGGUAAUACAUAGGGUGCAAGCGUUGUCCGGAAUUAUUGGGCGUAAAGAGCUCGUAGGUGGUUCGUCACGUCGGAUGUGAAACUCUGGGGCUUAACCCCAGACCUGCAUUCGAUACGGGCGAGCUUGAGUAUGGUAGGGGAGUCUGGAAUUCCUGGUGUAGCGGUGGAAUGCGCAGAUAUCAGGAGGAACACCAAUGGCGAAGGCAGGACUCUGGGCCAUUACUGACACUGAGGAGCGAAAGCGUGGGGAGCGAACAGGAUUAGAUACCCUGGUAGUCCACGCCGUAAACGGUGGGCACUAGUUGUGGGGACCUUCCACGGUCUCUGCGACGCAGCUAACGCAUUAAGUGCCCCGCCUGGGGAGUACGAUCGCAAGAUUAAAACUCAAAGGAAUUGACGG
rnacentral:rRNA from 1 species